AUUCCAUUUCUUUUUCUUCCAAUUCAAUUUAAUAAACAAUGACUGCAUAUCUACCACAGGCCAAGAGCAGUGAUUGUUCUGUUAUGCACACCUGGCCCUGUUUCCUACUGGUCCCUGCAUACAACUGCAUGUGCUUCUCUACGGGGUCUCUCCAGCCACUUGUUUCACUUUUUUUUUGCAGUACCAGGGAUCGAAUUCAGGACCUUGCGCUUACAAGACAGGCAACAGUACCACUGAGCUAAAUCCCCAGCCCCAAUUUCUUUUUUCAUCUUUGGUUUCUUCCUUGAGGUUUCUGGUAAACUUUUCAUUAGACUGUGCCUCUCUGUUUUUGCUAAAUGUUACAGAAGCCAUCAUGGAGGGAUAAAUUGAACCCAGGGCCUCAUGCAUGGUACCUAAGUGCUGUACCACUAACCUACAUCCCUGUCCCUUUUUGCUUUUGUUAAAGAUGACAUUCUGUGUGGAAUACAAAAGUAAAGAAGGGAAGUGUAAGAAGAUAAGGAGAGGCUGGGGAUUUAGCUCAGUGGUUAAACACAAGGUCCCUAGUUCGAUCCCUGGUACCCAACCCCCCCCCCAAAAAGAAGACAAGGAGGGAAGCUUCAGUAAGAGACCACGCACAGCUUCAUUAUGACCCUACAAGUUCCAUGACACCCAGGGAUGUAGCUCAGUGGUUCCGUCACCUGCCUCGCAAGCACAAGGUCCCAAGUUUGAUCCUGGGUACAAAAAACAAAAACAAGUUCCAUGACAGAGGGAAGGCUCAAAGAAGAAAAGCACUUACCAAGAAGGAAAGGACCAAAUAUAAACUCAGCAGUGCACCAUGCCCAGCUUCAGCCAAUCCAACUGGCAGUUAAGAAACUCCACCCAGUUCUGGCUGGCACUAAAGGAGAGCCGACACCACUCUGCCAGAAAAUGAGCCCCACAUCAUCAGCAGGCACUGAGAGGUCACAUGGCCCCCAGACACAGUACUGCAGACAUCUGACCUUCCAUUGUGACACACGCCUGCUGAAGUGGAAUUAUCUGGUGAGAAAAGUUUUCAAAAAUAGGUAAACUAAGGCAAGAGGAAAACUACAUGACAUGACGAUGAGGCACAGAACAGAAUCUUGGGCUCCUGACUCCUGCUUUGCUAUUAAUACCUCUGUGUUCACAGUAGUGACUGAGAAUAUAUGAUGAGGUCACAGGCACUUUCUUUGUUGUGUGGUUUAUGUAGAUAGUUCACAAGCUCUGAAGUUACUAAACCAAAACAAUUUUCAAGGUAUAGCCAGAUUAAACUGUACUUAUAUCUCAUUUAAACACAGUAGUUUGAGACAACGUUUGAAGCUCCAGAAAGUGCUCCUGAAAACCGUUAUCAGUCUCAUCUGCAGCCACUUAUCUUGGUCUGUGCUCAUUCUGCCUGACAAGAAAUUGGUGAUCUGGCUUUAAAAUGACCCAAGACCUGCUGGCCAGGUGCACACCUAUAAUCCCAGCACUCAGGAGGCUGAGGCAGGAGGAUCACACCAAGAGAUUGAAGCCAGCCUGGGCUACAUAGUGAGUUCAACACCAGCCUGAACUACAGAAUUAGACCCUGUAUUCAAAAAAAGAAAAAAAGAACUGUUGCUGCCUCUGUCCUCCAAUUCUCUCCAGAAGGUGCUGCUAUGGAGGUAAAGAGGAGAAAGAAAACUCAGGAAAAGCAAGCACAGAAGCCUAAGUCCUACAUUCACAAACAUUUUCCCAACCACUAAAAUAUUUUCAUUUCACUCUCUCACAUUAGCUGUAUUUCUUUGUUUUUUGGGUUUUGGUGGGUUUUUUGCUUUUUCUUUUUUUUGAGACAGUGUCUCACUCUGUAGUUCAGGCUGCCCUUGAACUCUUGGUGAUCCUCCUGCCUCAGCCUUCUGAGCACUGGGAUUACAGGUGUAUACAACCACACUUCUAACAUGGGAUCUCUGCAGUGCCAGCAUCCUCUUAGGAUGCAGAGUCCUAACCAGGUCUGGUCUGAACCCAGGAGUUUGAAGUUGAAAAAAAAAAGAAAGAAAACCAGCAACAAUACCACCAACAAUAAAACCUCACAUCACCCACAAAAAAAUUUGACAAGUGGGUAAACACACACUCCUGGAAGGACCACCGUUCAAAACCUGAGUGUGAAUUAAAUUCUUAUCAAAUAGCUUUUCCCCUAAUCCCAGAAACAGGUUCCACUGAAAGUAUCUGAGUUUGGAGUUUUACUGAGAAAGGGAAAAAAAACAAUUUAGAAACAUAGAAUGCUUCAGGGAACAAAGUAGGUCUGUUGCCAAAAGCAAGCAUGACAUCUUUAAAAAAUCUGUCUCCUUGUCACUUUUAGAAGGAGGAAAC
rnacentral:lncRNA from 1 species